CAGAUGUCAAAAAUUGCUUGUAUUUAUUUUUUUUAUACGUCCCUAUUCUUACUUGCGUCAAUGGAAGAAGUUUUACCGGAGGGCAAAAAUUUUAGAUUAGUCGACGAAUCAGAGCUUCCAGAAAUAAUCGAAUUCCUCGGCAACUAUUUGCCGGACUCUUUGAAGUUUCAUCAAACUUUAAAGACUUACCUGAACGACAGGGUGUGGGAUUUCCAUUUUUACGUAACGAAAACUUGGCCAGAGCAAGCUGUGAUAUUGCAUUUUCCAGGAAUGACGCGAUCGCCAAACAACAAAUUGUACGAAUCGUUUAGUGUGUUUUGUCCGUGCGAUCAGCUGGACAGUUUAGAGCUGCUGGAAAGUGAGGACGUGCUGAUAGACUGGACGAAGCCGAUUUACCUGAACUACACGCACGCAAGGAUAAUAGAGAAAAUCGAGGAUUUCUAUGGAAAGAUUGGCACCAUGGAAAAACUCUCUGGCGACAUUUAUGGGCUGAUUUAUGGUGCCGAAGAAAAUCUAGUGUUAAAAGAUGAUGAAAACUCAUCAGAGCAGAUAGUUUUUACCGACCAAGCUGAGAUGUUGCAGCUGAAGAAGGAGCAUGCUCAAAUUAUUCACGACCUUUACCCGGCCAAUCAUAUGGAGUGCAUAGAAAUCUUCGAAAAACUAAUCGAGAAGUUGCCUUGCUUCGGAGUGUUUUCUGCUCAAGGCGAUCUGGCCGCAUGGAUGGUCCAAUCUUAUUACGGGGCGAUGUUUUCGAUGCAAACCAGACCGGAAUACAGACGAAAAGGUUACGGAAUCAUAUUGGCGAAGCACCUUACAAAAUUAGUAAGUGAUAGGGGAUAUCUCCCGUUCGUGGUGAUCCGUCCAGAAAACGACGCGUCCAGAUCCCUAUACUCGAAACUCGGAUUCAAAAAAUUAUUCGAAACUUACCGCGCCGUUCUAAGGCCCUACGAGGAGUCCAGAGGAGGCGGCGAGGGAGGAGGAGGUGGAGGUGAACAACAAAUCAAUGGAGACUUAGAAAUUAAGGGAGACCAAUAAGAAUUUUACGGGUUUUUUUCGUUUCUGAUAUAACGCUGCUACGCUUUCAUUUAUUGUUCCCAAGCCAAGAAUCACGAACGUUGUAUUUAUACUCUCUAAUAUUAUGAAUUAAGGAUCUUCUCGAAGUUAGGUUUAAAACGUAGACGGGUUUCAAUGUUAAAGUCUGUUUUGCUUGAGAUUUACUCGAUGAUGCGGGGAAGUACAGAAAUAAUAUUCGUAAAUGCUUUUAAGUCAGAAUCAUUCACGCCGCCCUCUAGUGGAGGCAAAGAAAUCAUUUUUGUUUGCUGCCAUAAGUGUCAACUGUGGUAGUGACAUUGACAGUUUAAUCACAAGGAAGGAACAAGCAGUUUACAGCGUGAUCGUUUGGUCUUGAUGACUUGCUUUUGGUGUCUUUUUCUUAGCUUCUUUUGUCUCAGUUCUGAGUGUACUGCUAAUUCGAGAAAAAUCUUGAAUUUUAUUCUUCCAUAUCUUCUUGGAUAACUCUCCUGAGUCUAUACUCAGAAGCUCUGGUCAUACAACAAUAGGAAUGUUGAGGAGCAGUGGUGUUUAUACGAUUGCGUUGCUUGACGAGGUUAUCUGGCUUACACUGCAGAUAAAUUCAUUUAUUAAUUCUUCCAGGCAAUUGAGAUAAACGCUUAAGCUUCCUGGAUGAAUAAAAAAAUAAGACUGUAAAGAAACUGAAGAACAUUGAAGCCAUUAUCUAGUGUGUCUCUUUCUUUCCCAAAAUAAAUCCAUACUUCUCAUUUAGUUAUUAAUUUUUUAUUUUAGGUAUGUAUUUGAACAACUUUAUCUGCCUGGAAGAAUUAAACAGUUUGUAGAUCAGAAGUGUCAGCUCCAUCUAGUGGAAGCAAAGAUAUUAUUAUUGUUUUCUGUCAUAAGUGUCAACUGUGGUACUGACGUUGACAGUAAUUACAAGGAAGAAACGAACAGCGUACAGCGUCAUCUCUUGGAGGAUGGCCUUCACAACUUGCUUCUGGUGUCUUUUUUGGCUCCGUUUUAUUUUUUGAGUUUAAAUAUUCGAUGUAUGCUGUUAAUUCAAGGAUCUGCUCAUCUUUAAUUUGCAUACUACGUUAUAUUCCUUAUAGUGCUUUCAAUCUUUAAAGGUGCCUGAUAGAUUCCAAAAAAAUCUUGCUUAAAAUUCAUGGACGAAUUCCAAAUUAAUGAAAAACUGAAGAACAGUAAAGCAAUUGUCUAGUGUCCCUCUUUUUUUUCCCAAAAUGAUUUAAUUGCUUCUUCCAGGCAUUUCGAGUCAUUGAAUUUUUAUUCCAGGUACUUAUUUAAACAACUUCAACUGCCUGGAAGAUUUAAACAGUUUAUAGAUCAAAAGUAUUAGCUCCACAGUUCACCACUCAGUGGAAGCUCCAUCUAGUGGAAGCAAAGAUAUCAUUAUUGUUUUCUGUCAUUAGUGUCAACUGUGGUGGUGACAUUGAAAGUUCAAUUACAAGGAAGCAGCUUCAUGUCUUGGUGGAUGGUCUUCAAAACUUGUUUCUGGUGUCUUUUUUUUGCUUCUACUGUCUCGGUUUUAUUUCUUGAGUUACUAUAAGCUUCUCGGUAUUCUGUGUGUGCUAUUAAUUCAAGGAUCUGCACAUCUUUAGUUUGCAUACUACGUUAUAUUCCUUUCGGUGCUUCCAAGCUUUAAAUGUGCCUGACAGAUUUCAGAAAAAUCUUGCUUAAAAUUCAUGGAUGAAUUAAAAAAAUAAGACUUUUUAAGAAACUGAAGAACAGUGAAUCAAGUGUGUCUCUUUUUUUCCCAAAAUUAAUCCAUUACUUCUCCCAGGCAUUUCGAAUCAAUUAUUUUUUGUUCCAGGUACUUGUUUAAACAACUUCAACUGCCUGGAAGAUUUAAACAGUUUAUAGAUCAAAAGUAUCAGCUCCACAGUUCACCACUCAGUGGAAGCUCCAUCUAGUGGAAGCAAAGAUAUCAUUAUUGUUUUCUGUCAUUAGUGUCAGCUGUGGUGGUGACAUUGACAGUUUAAUUACAAGGAAGAAAGAAACAGCAUACAGCUUCAUGUCUUGGUGGAUGGUCUUCAUCUUUAAUUUGCAUACUACGUUAUAUUCCUUAUGGUGCUUCCCAGCUUUAAAGGUGCCUGACAGAUUCCAAAAAAAUCUUGCUUAAAAUUCAUGGACGAAUUACAAAUUAUUGAAAAACUGAAGAACAGUAAAGCAAUUGUCUAGUGUUCCACUUUUUUUUCCCAAAAUGAAUUAAUUUCUUCUUCCAGGCAUUUCGAGUCAUUGAAUUUUUAUUCCAGGUACUUGUUUAAACAACUUCAACUGUCUGGAAGAUUUAAACAGUUUAUAGAUCAAAAGUAUCAGCUCCACAGUUCACCACUCAGUAGAAGCUCCAUCUAGUGGAAGCAAAGAUAUCAUUAUUCUUUUCUGUCAUUAGUGUCAACUGUGGUGGUGACAUUGAAAGUUCAAUUACAAGGAAGCAGCUUCAUGUCUUGGUGGAUGGUCUUCACAACUUGUUUCUGGUGUCUUUUUUUUGCUUCUACUGUCUCGGUUUUAUUUCUUGAGUUACCAUAUGCUUCUGGGUAUUCUGUGUGUGCCAUUAAUUCAAGGAUCUGCGCAAUUUUUGUUUGCAUACUACGUUAUAUUCCUUCCGGUGCUUCCCAGCUUUAAAGGUGCCUGACAGAUUCCAAAAAAAUCUUGCUUAAAAUUCAUGGACGAAUUACAAAUUAAUAAAAAACUUAAGAACAGUAAAGCAAUUGUCUAGUGUUCCACUUUUUUUUCCCAAAAUGAAUUAAUUUCCUCUUCCAGGCAUUUCGAGUCAUUGAAUUUUUAUUCCAGGUACUUGUUUAAACAACUUUAACUGCCUGGAAGAUUUAAACAGUUUAUAAAUCAAAAGUAUCAGCUUCACAGUUCACCACUCAGUGGAAGCUCCAUCUAGUGGAAGCAAAGAUAUCAUUAUUGUUUUCUGUCAUUAGUGUCAACUAUGGUAGUGACAUUGACAGUUCAAUUACAAGGAAGAAAGAAACAGCAUACAGCUUCAUGUCUUGAUGGAUGGUCUUCAUCUUUAAUUUGCAUACUACGUUAUAUUCCUUAUGGUGCUUCCAAGCUUUAAAUGUGCCUGACAGAUUCCAAAAAAAUCUUGCUUAAAAUUCAUGGACGAAUUACAAAUUAAUGAAAAACUGAAGAACAGUAAAGCAAUUGUCUAGUGUUCCACUUUUUUUUCCCAAAAUGAAUUAAUUUCUUCUUCCAGGCAUUUCGAGUCAUUGAAUUUUUAUUCCAGGUACUUGUUUAAACAACUUCAACUGCCUGGAAGAUUUAAACAGUUUAUAGAUCAAAAGUAUCAGCUCCACAGUUCACCACUCAGUGGAAGCUCCAUCUAGUGGAAGCAAAGAUAUCAUUAUUCUUUUCUGUCAUUAGUGUCAACUGUGGUGGUGACAUUGAAAGUUCAAUUACAAGGAAGCAGCUUCAUGUCUUGGUGGAUGGUCUUCACAACUUGUUUCUGGUGUCUUUUUUUUGCUUCUACUGUCUCGGUUUUAUUUCUUGAGUUACUAUGAGCUUCUGGGUAUUCUGUGUGUGCUAUUAAUUCAAGGAUCUGCGCAUCUUUAGUUUGCAUACUACGUUAUAUUCCUUAUGGUGCUUCCCAGUUUUAAAGGUGCCUGACAGAUUCCAAAAAAAUCUUGCUUAAAAUUCAUGGACGAAUUCCAAAUUAAUGAAAAACUUAAGAACAAUAAAGCAAUUGUCUAGUGUUCCACUUUUUUUUCCCAAAAUGAAUUAAUUGCUUCUUCCAGGCAUUUCUAGUCAUUAAAUUUUAAUUCCAGGUGCUUGUUUAAACAACUUCAACUGCCUGGAAGAUUUAAACGGUUUAUAGAUCAAAAGUAUCAGCUCCACAGUUCACCACUCAGUGGAAGCUCCAUCUAGUGGAAGCAAAGAUAUCAUUAUUGUUUUCUGUCAUUAGUGUCAACUGUGGUGGUGACAUUGACAGUUCAAUUACAAGGAAGAAAGAAACAGCUGACAGCUUCAUGUCUUGGUGGAUGGUCUUCAUCUUUAAUUUUCAUACUACGUUAUAUUCCUUAUGGUGCUUCCCAGGUUUAAAGGUGCCUGACAGAUUCCAAAAAAAUCUUGCUUAAAAUUCAUGGACGAAUCACAAAUUAAUGAAAAACUGAAGAACAGUAAAGCAAUUGUCUAGUGUUCCACUUUCUUUUCCCAAAAUGAAUUAAUUUCUUCUUCCAGGCAUUUCGAGUCAUUGAAUUUUUAUUCCAGGUACUUGUUUAAACAACUUCAACUGCCUGGAAGAUUUAAACAGUUUAUAAAUCAAAAGUAUCAGCUCCAUAGUUCACCACUCAGUGGAAGCUCCAUCUAGUGGAAGCAAAGAUAUCAUUAUUCUUUUUUGUCAUUAGUGUCAACUGUGGUGGUGACAUUGAAAGUUCAAUUACAAGGAAGCAGCUUCAUGUCUUGGUGGAUGGUCUUCACAACUUGCUUCUGGUGUCUUUUUUUGCUUCUACUGUCUCGGUUUUAUUUCUUGAGUUACUAUAAGCUUCUGGGUAUUCUGUGUGUGCCAUUAAUUCAAGGAUCUGCGCAUAUUUAAUUUGCAUACUACGUUAUAUUCCUUAUGGUGCUUCCCAGCUUUAAAGGUGCCUGACAGAUUCCAAAAAAAUCUUGCUUAAAAUUCAUGGACGAAUUACAAUUUAAUGAAAAACUGAAGAACAGUAAAGCAAUUGUCUAGUGUCCCUCUUUUUUUUUCCCAAAAUGAUUUAAUUGCUUCUUCCAGGCAUUUCUAGUCAUUGAAUUUUUAUUCCAGGUACUUGUUUAAACAACUUCAACUGCCUGGAAGAUUUAAACAGUUUAUAGAUCAAAAGUAUCAGCUCCACAGUUCACCACUCAGUGGAAGCUCCAUCUAGUGGAAGCAAAGAUAUCAUUAUUGUUUUCUGUCAUUAGUGUCAACUGUGGUGGUGACAUUGAAAGUUCAAUUACAAGGAAGCAGCUUCAUGUCUUGGUGGAUGGUCUUCACAACUCGUUUCUGGUGUCUUUUUUUUGCUUCUACUGUCUCGGUUUUAUUUCUUGAGUUACUAUAAGCUUCUCGGUAUUCUGUGUGUGCUAUUAAUUCAAGGAUCUGCACAUCUUUAGUUUGCAUACUACGUUAUAUACCUUACGGCGCUUCCAAGCUUUAAACGUGCCUGAUAGAUUUCAGAAAAAUCUUGCUUAAAAUUCAUGGAUGAAUUAAAAAAAUAAGACUUUUUAAGAAACUGAGGAACAGUGAAUCAAGUGUGUCUCUUUUUUCCCAAAAUUAAUCCAUUACUUCUCCCAGGCAUUUCGAAUCAAUUAUUUUUUGUUCCAGGUACUUGUUUAAACAACUUCAACUGCCUGGAAGAUUUAAACAGUUUAUAGAUCAAAAGUGUCAGCUCCAGAGUUCACCACUCAGUGGAAGCUCCAUCUAGUGGAGGCAAAGAUAUCAUUAUUGUUUUCUGUCAUUAGUGUCAACUGUGGUGGUGACAUUGUCGUUUAUUUACAAGGAAGAACAAACAGCGUACAACGUCAUCACAAGUAGCAGUUAAAUGCAAGCGCACAAAAUAGGGACAGAUGGAAAGGACUGAGGGAGACCUAUGUCCAGCAGUGGACAUUUACGGAUUAAUAAUGAUGAUAGAAGAGGAUUAUACUCAGGAAUUGAAACCAUGCAAAAAUUAUCGUCUAACUAACGUCAGUUUCAAUAUCGAACAACGUUGUCAGUCCGACGAAGGACGCAUGAUUUGACUUUACAUCGGACUGAAAUUAAUAGUUCAUAAAUAAGUAACUAGUCAAGUCUAAUCAUGAUAUUUCUCUGGGGAUAUGUAUUCUGUUCACAGAAAUACGAAUAUUAUUUCUGUAUGGUCCUUUAAAAUGUGGUGUUUAACAGGAGGGUGAGAGCUGCGUGAGCGUUUCGUGACAUAAACACGUCUUAAGUUUUACCGAUCUUUGUCUUAUUAAAACGAUGAAGUUUAAACUAACUAAUUUCCAGUUUACAGCAUAAAAAUUGACAAUUUUUUUAACGAGUCUCCCACAACAUAUGCACCAAGUUUUGCGCUAAAACAACCCACCAAAUAAACGAACUUUAAAAAAUACUCGUUUUAAGGGUAUUUUGUGUACGUUAGUUCUAAACCUCCAAGAAGCUUCAUUAACUUUUUAAGAGCUGUGAUUUGAAUUAUCUUAGACUUUUGCCGCUAGAGGCGUUUUAGGCGUUUAUUAGAAAUUACCAACAUUUCUCUACUUAUUACGUGAAAAAGAAAAGGUGCAUUUUUCUAUUUAAUCCUUUAGUUGUCCCGGUAAUUUGUAUGCAACAGUUUUUGUAUUAAAAUACACUCCUCUGGCGUAUGGAUGCAUUCUGUCCGAUCCGUAUCGAAAUGCGCAUGCUUAUCGCCAGUGGAGCAUAUUUAAUCUAAAAAUUGAAUUUAGGGUGCAUGUUAUUCCUUAAAUAUUUCUUCCAAAUGCUGUACAGGGUAUCCCUCGGAAAUGAUUAUCCUGGAUCAUCUUGUAUACAAGAAAGUUUAAAAGGGGAAUUAGUUUCUUGUCUCGUAGGGCUGUGAACGAUAUUUUUUUCGUAAUCGUGAUUUUUUUUUAGUUUAUCUAUUUGCACGGCAACAAAUUUGGUAAUUGAUAUAAUAAUGGCAAAAAAAUGAUCACACUACGUCGCCCUUAAAUAUAGAGAGUUAUAUGAUUUUUCAAAACAAGGCUGUGACAUUAUAGUAACUAGUUAAAAAUUAGAAAUGAUAAUAAUUUUACGAGAAACUAAUUCCGACUUUAAUAAGAGAGAGUGCCGCUUCGUUUUUUCCCUCUUAUUGGAUAUAUUUAGUACCCUACCUAAUUGCAAAAACUUCAGAGCUCAGAACUUUUGACUUGUGUGCAUACAUAAAUAAAACAUUUACAAAAUC